GUUUGCAAGUUUUGAGAGGUUAUUAGAGGUUUCCAUCCCACUUCCCACUCUUCUAGCGGUUCUCUUCAACCUCUCCCUCCACCCAUUAUAGAUCCCCAUCCCCUACGUCCCCCUUUCUCCUCCCUGACCUUGGAUCUUCUUCCAAGCUUCCCAUAACCCACUCUAGAAAUUGACGAUUCAUCCCUGAUCGGUCAUUGUCUCCUUCUCGUGAUUUCAGGGCUUUUCAAAUCGAACCAAGUCGUUCUUAGUGCUGCUCAGCUCUGUCACAUUUCUGAUCUUCAAUUCAAUUCAUCCAGUGCCAGAAUUGUAAGUUUAACCUAAUUUUCACUCAUGUUGUAUCGUUUUCAUCCGAAUGAGGAUGUUCACCUCAAGAAUAUCAAGAAUGAAGGAGCUCUUUGUGGUUCCGGCAACCGAGACGAGACCAAAACCGGCAGGGGACUUCGGGCAACCGUACAGUAAAUAAACUGAGGUCAUGAAUCAUGAUUGGGAGUAGCAGAACAAGGUAUUCAUUCCUUCUAAUGACCUCUUUUUUCUGUAAGGUUUAAAUCCUAGGUUUUGUACCUCAUAUUGAGAAGGCUCUCAAUUUUAAAACUCUUCGAUGGAUGUAUGCGUAUUACUGCUUUGAGUACAUGGCUACCAUUGCUUAUAAAGUAGAGGUCAAAUAAUUAUAAGUUUCGCACCAGGUUCUUACUUCUUUGUAAUUAUUUGCGAAGGUUCAUAAAGGUAAAGAUAUGUCAGGAACAGGCAAAGGAGCCUCACCAAUGUUACUUUCUCUAAUGCCAUGAGCACACGUCCUAUUUCAGGUCACGGUUGAUUUGGUAGCUAUUCCAGUUGAAAAUCCUAGCCAUUUAAGCUCACCGAAAAUAACGGAAAAAGCAGUAGUUUUUGGAGGUUUGGGUGUCUCUCUCCUCCUUUGGUGUGGUUUCCUAAUUUGUUGCUCACACGUUCUCCUGCCUUUCUCUCCUAUAAGAGGGUUCCCCACUUGACCAUAACUACAAUUCAACUGCCCAUUCCCCCCGCCUCCCGUUUUAGGGGUCUGGAGAGGUUCCAUGGGGUUGACGAUUGGGGUCUGGGAAUGGAUAAAAAAUUAGGAUGCAAAAGUUGAAGUCGGAGUCAUCACCUCUCUUUACGGUGAUAACCACCGUAGUCACCGAGACCAAGGUCUACCACUGAUAUCUCUGUCGUUCUCAGGUAUGUCUAUCUGUUCUUUCCCAUGGUCGUCCAGUCAAGUGUGUACGUUGUUUUAGAAGCUGCUUCUUUUCCCUUUCUACCACAUGUCUUUUCUUGCACCACACUUGAACUCAGGUCUAAAGCAAUAUACAAACACAGCUUCUUGGAAGAAAAGAAGAGAGAGAAGGUCCGCUUAAUUGGUUUUGAACAAGCUUUCCGGUGAUUGAACUCCGAAUGAUACUAAGGUUUGUGAUUGAUCUGCGGCGGAUAAAGUGAGAUUUUUGUUUGCUUUGAAAUUCUUACAGAUCUGAAUUACAUGCUAUUAUUUGCAAUUGAGAAACCCUAACUUUGACCUCUCUUUAUAUCUUCGCUUGAUGAAAAUGAAGCAGAGUGGCAUUAGGGUUUCAUGGUGAGUGAUAGCAGCGAUGUCUGCAAAGGUGGUUCAUAGGAAAAAAGUGGGAUGAUUUGGUUGUGGAUCACUACAAGGAGAAGAAUAAAGUAACCAAGAGAGAAUCUAAAUAGGUCACGACCAAAAAGACUUACAACUCAGAUGAUGAAGAAGAUAGGUCAUGUUGCUUAAUUUUCUAAAUACAUCAACAGUGUCACGAGAAGAUGACUAAACUAUGUGAUUUCCAUGCCGUCUUCCUUACGAUGUGCUGGAGGCUAUGGGUAAACAAAAACGAGAAAGGUCUCUCAGAACAGGAACGUUUCGGUUGUCAACUUGGUGGAGGAUAUCAAAGAUAAUACUUUUUGGUUGAUGAGGACUAGAGCCAAGAGAAAGCUUCUGACCUGGGACAAUUAGAAACAAUUUGUUUGUUUUUUGUGUUGCUUUCUGUUUUCAUUUGUAUGUGCUGCUCCUUGCUAAGGUUCAGCUUUUUGUUUGGCAAUAAAGUUCCGUUUUGUUGGUAAAAAAAAAAACAACUCAACUAGGUGAUGAAGAUGAU
rnacentral:lncRNA from 1 species